rnacentral:rRNA from 1 species
AUUGAACGCUGGCGGCAGGCCUAACACAUGCAAGUCGAGCGGCAGCGGGAAAGUAGCUUGCUACUUUUGCCGGCGAGCGGCGGACGGGUGAGUAAUGCCUGGGGAUCUGCCCAGUCGAGGGGGAUAACUACUGGAAACGGUAGCUAAUACCGCAUACGCCCUACGGGGGAAAGCAGGGGACCCUCGGGCCUUGCGCGAUGGGAUGAACCCAGGUGGGAUUAGCUAGUUGGUGAGGUAAUGGCUCACCAAGGCGACGAUCCCUAGCUGGUCUGAGAGGAUGAUCAGCCAAAAGGGAACGGAGGCACGGUCCAGACUCCUACGGGAGGCAGCAGUGGGGUAUAGUGCACAAUGGGGGAAACCCUGAUGCAGCCAUGCCGCGUGUGUGAAGAAGGCCUUCGGGUUGUAAAGCACUUUCAGCGAGGAGGAAAGGUUGGUAGCUAAUAACUGCCAGCUGUGACGUUACUCGCAGAAGAAGCACCGGCUAACUCCGUGCCAGCAGCCGCGGUAACAC